AUUGAACGCUGGCGGCAGGCCUAACACAUGCAAGUCGAGCGGCAGCGGGAAAGUAGCUUGCUACUUUUGCCGGCGAGCGGCGGACGGGUGAGUAAUGCCUGGGAAAUUGCCCAGUCGAGGGGGAUAACAGUUGGAGACGACUGCUAAUACCGCAUACGCCCUACGGGGGAAAGCAGGGGACCUUCGGGCCUUCCGCGAUUGGAUAUGCCCAGGUGGGAUUAGCUAGUUGGUGAGGUAAUGGCUCACCAAGGCGACGAUCCCUAGCUGGUCUGAGAGGAUGAUCAGCCACACUGGAACUGAGACACGGUCCAGACUCCUACGGGAGGCAGCAGUGGGGAAUAUUGCACAAUGGGGGAAACCCUGAUGCAGCCAUGCCGCGUGUGUGAAGAAGGCCUUCGGGUUGUAAAGCACUUUCAGCGAGGAGGAAAGGUUGAUGCCUAAUACGUAUCAACUGUGACGUUACUCGCAGAAGAAGCACCGGCUAACUCCGUGCCAGCCGCCGCGGUAAGAC
rnacentral:rRNA from 1 species